GCUAUCGACUACUUCCGGUAUACUUCCGAAAAAUUUGCAUAAAACUAGCAAGUGAGCUUUGUUCUCUGUACAAUUCUAAAGACUCCGUGCCCAUUUAAGCGAACAGAAAUGGUCUUUUUGAUUACUUUUAUGACUUUUUUUACUAUCUAAGGCCGGUCCUUUAGAAAGUGGGUUUUGGACGUGUCAAAUAGAUGGCGCUAAAGAAUAUUGUGUUGAUAUGUGCUUAUUAUGGCGGCUCGUUAUCAACAGUUCAGCUAAAGCUAAUUUCUUCAAAAAUUACCAAAGAAUUCGUAGGAGAAAAUGUGAAAGUGGCAUGCAGCCUACCUGUCAACUAUUGUGUUGUAAAUCCUGGGAUCCUACUGAAUGUGUCAUCCAAAUGCGUAAAUGACAGAGGUUCUUAGAAUUUAUGAGUCCUUGAAGAAAAAGGACAAUGGCAAUACAGUGGUAAACCCGAUGGCUGAGGUAUGGCUCCCUCUUGAUUUGAGGGGUAACUCCUUUGCUAAUUUUAAUGGACUUCAUCCAAUUGGUAAAAGCUGACAAGAGAAUGCUGUGAUUCAAGACUGAUAGAUUGUGUAGUUGUUAGAUAAAUCACAAGUGUAUAUCUGGGCUCCCUUCUUUACUGUGGUCUGAUCUCCCUGGCUACAGUCAAUUAAGGCAGUGUGACCCCCGUCUUCAUUGACUACCUGUGCAAGUUUUAGAAGCAGUUUAUCACCCAAAUGGAACAAAAGGAGUUUGUUAGGCUUCUUUUAUUUGGGUAUAAUUGGUUUUAAAACUUGCACAGAAAAACAACUGUCUUGUACCGGACGCUUUGUUUAUUAGAUUACAACCAUUUUGAUUAAAAA